ACGGAAGGCAGCAGUGGGGAAUAUUGCACAAUGGGCGAAAGCCUGAUGCAGCGACGCCGCGUGAGCGAAGAAGUAUUUCGGUAUGUAAAGCUCUAUCAGCAGGGAAGAUAAUGACGGUACCUGACUGAGAAGCACCGGCUAAAUACGUGCCAGCAGCCGCGGUAAUACGUAUGGUGCAAGCGUUAUCCGGAUUUACUGGGUGUAAAGGGAGCGCAGGCGGUACGGCAAGUCUGAUGUGAAAGCCCGGGGCUCAACCCCGGUACUGCAUUGGAAACUGUCGAACUAGAGUGUCGGAGGGGUAAGUGGAAUUCCUAGUGUAGCGGUGAAAUGCGUAGAUAUUAGGAGGAACACCAGUGGCGAAGGCGGCUUACUGGACGACAACUGACGCUGAGGCUCGAAAGCGUGGGGAGCAAACAGGAUUAGAUACCCUGGUA
rnacentral:rRNA from 1 species